rnacentral:rRNA from 1 species
GACGAACGCUGGCGGCGUGCUUAACACAUGCAAGUCGAACGGAAAGGCCCUGGUUUUGUGGGGUGCUCGAGUGGCGAACGGGUGAGUAACACGUGAGUAUCCUGCCUUGGACUUUGGGAUAACUUCAGGAAACUGGGGCUAAUACCGGAUAGGAGCUCCUGCUGCAUGGUGUGGGUUGGAAAGUGUCGGCGGUUGGGGAUGGAAUCGCGGCUUGUCAGCUUGCUGGUGGGGUAGUGGCUUACCAAGGCUUUGACGGGUAGCCGGCCUGAGAGGGUGACCGGCCACAUUAGGACUGAGAUGCGGCCCAGACUCCUACGGGAGGCAGCGGUGCGGAAUAGUGCACUAUGGGCGGAAGCCUGAUGCAGCAACGCCGCGUGCGGGAUGACGGCCUUCGGGUUGUAAUCCGCUUUCGCCUGUGACGAAGCGUGAGUGACGGUAAUGGGUAAAGAAGCACCGGCUAACUACGUG